AGACCCGAAACCCGGUGAUCUAGCCAUGGGCAGGUUGAAGGUUGGGUAACACUAACUGGAGGACCGAACCGACUAAUGUUGAAAAAUUAGCGGAUGACCUGUGGCUGGGGGUGAAAGGCCAAUCAAACCGGGAGAUAGCUGGUUCUCCCCGAAAGCUAUUUAGGUAGCGCCUCGUGAAUUCAUCUCCGGGGGUAGAGCACUGUUUCGGCUAGGGGGCCAUCCCGGCUUACCAACCCGAUGCAAACUGCGAAUACCGGAGAAUGUUAUCACGGGAGACACACGGCGGGUGCUAACGUCCGUCGUGAAGAGGGAAACAACCCAGACCGCCAGCUAAGGUCCCAAAGUCAUGGUUAAGUGGGAAACGAUGUGGGAAGGCCCAGACAGCCAGGAUGUUGGCUUAGAAGCAGCCAUCAUUUAAAGAAAGCGUAAUAGCUCACUGGUCGAGUCGGCCUGCGCGGAAGAUGUAACGGGGCUAAACCAUGCACCGAAGCUGCGGCAGCGAACGUAUCACCCAAGACAACUUUACGGAGUUGACGAUUGACGGAGCGAAGCGACGUCAAAGCGUUCAUUAAAGUCGAGUUGGCUUAGGGAUACGUUCGUUGGGUAGGGGAGCGUUCUGUAAGCCUGUGAAGGUGUGUCGUGAGGCAUGCUGGAGGUAUCAGAAGUGCGAAUGCUGACAUAAGUAACGAUAAAGCGGGUGAAAAGCCCGCUCGCCGGAAGACCAAGGGUUCCUGUCCAACGUUAAUCGGGGCAGGGUGAGUCGACCCCUAAGGCGAGGCCGAAAGGCGUAGUCGAUGGGAAACGGGUUAAUAUUCCCGUACUUGGUGUUACUGCGAAGGGGGGACGGAGAAGGCUAUGUUGGCCGGGCGACGGUUGUCCCGGUUUAAGCGUGUAGGUGUGUGUUCCAGGUAAAUCCGGUUCACUUUAACACUGAGGCGUGACGACGAGGCACUACGGUGCUGAAGCAACAAAUGCCCUGCUUCCAGGAAAAGCCUCUAAGCAUCAGGUAACACGAAAUCGUACCCCAAACCGACACAGGUGGUCAGGUAGAGAAUACCAAGGCGCUUGAGAGAACUCGGGUGAAGGAACUAGGCAAAAUGGUGCCGUAACUUCGGGAGAAGGCACGCUGACACGUAGGUG
rnacentral:rRNA from 1 species